GACGAACGCUGGCGGCGUGCCUAAUACAUGCAAGUGGAACGAGAGCGACCGGUGCUUGCACUGGUCAAUCUAGUGGCGAACGGGUGAGUAACACGUGGGUAACCUGCCCAUCAGAGGGGGAUAACAUCCGGAAACGGAUGCUAAAACCGCAUAGGUCUUCGAGCCGCAUGGCUUGAAGAGGAAAAGAGGCGCAAGCUUCUGCUGAUGGAUGGACCCGCGGUGCAUUAGCUAGUUGGUGAGGUAACGGCUCACCAAGGCCGUGAUGCAUAGCCGACCUGAGAGGGUGAUCGGCCACAUUGGGACUGAGACACGGCCCAAACUCCUACGGGAGGCAGCAGUAGGGAAUCUUCCGCAAUGGACGCAAGUCUGACGGAGCAACGCCGCGUGAGUGAAGAAGGUUUUCGGAUCGUAAAACUCUGUUGUUAGAGAAGAACAAGUGCUAGAGUAACUGUUAGCGCCUUGACGGUAUCUAACCAGAAAGCCACGGCUAACUACGUG
rnacentral:rRNA from 1 species